rnacentral:rRNA from 1 species
AUUGAACGCUGGCGGCAGGCCUAACACAUGCAAGUCGAACGCGUGGCGGACGGGUGAGAAAUGUCUGGGAAACUGCCUGAUGGAGGGGGAUAACUACUGGAAACGGUAGCUAAUACCGCAUACCAUCAGAUGUGCCCAGAUGGGAUUAGCUAGUAGGUGAGGUAACGGCUCACCUAGGCGACGAUCCCUAGCUGGUCUGAGAGGAUGACCAGCCACACUGUGGCUGGGACACGGUCCAUACUCCUACGGGAGGCAGCAGUGGGUAAUAUUGCACAAUGGGCGGAAGCCGGAUGCAGCCAUGCCGGGUGUAUGAAGAAGGCCUUCGGGUUGUAAAGUACUUUCAGCGGGGGGGCGUUACCCGCAGAAGAAGCACCGGCUAACUCCGUGCCAGCCGCCGCGGUAAUAC